UCGAGCGAAGCUUUUCAGUAGUUUACUACAGAAAAUGACUGAGCGGCGAACGGGUGAGUAACGCGUGAGCAAUCUACCUUAGUUACAGGGAUAGCCCGAGGAAACUCGGAUUAAUACCUGAUAUUCUUUAUUUCUCGCAUGAGAAUAAAAGGAAAGGUCAGCCGAACUAAGAUGAGCUCGCGUUCUAUCAGCUAGUUGGUGAGGUAAAAGCUUACCAAGGCUACGACGGAUAGCUGGUCUGAGAGGACGAUCAGCCACACUGGGACUGAGACACGGCCCAGACUCCUACGGGAGGCUGCAGCAGGGAAUAUUGUGCAAUGAACGAAAGUUUGACACAGCGACACCGCGUGUGGGAUGACGGACCUAGGUUUGUAAACCACUUUCAGGAGGGAAGAAAAUGACGGUACCUCCACAAGAAGCCCCGGCCAACUACGUGCCAGCAGCCGCGGUAAUACGUAGGGGGCGAGCGUUGUCCGGAUUUAUUGGGCGUAAAGAGCUCGUAGGCGGUUCAACAAGUCGGUCGUGAAAGUUCAGGGCUCAACCCUGAAAUGUCGAUCGAUACUGUUGUGACUAGGAUACGGUAGAGGUGAGUGGAAUUCCGAGUGUAGCGGUGAAAUGCGUAGAUAUUCGGAGGAACACCAAUUGCGAAGGCAGCUCACUGGGCCGCUAUCGACGCUGAGGAGCGAAAGCUAGGGGAGCAAACAGGAUUAGAUACCCUGGUAGUCCUAGCUGUAAACGAUGGAUACUAGAUGUAGGAACUGGAUUGACGGUUUCUGUAUCGCAGCUAACGCGUUAAGUAUCCCGCCUGGGGAGUACGGUCGCAAGACUAAAACUCAAAGGAAUUGACGGGA
rnacentral:rRNA from 1 species